UACGUAGGGUGCAAGCGUUAAUCGGAAUUACUGGGCGUAAAGCGUGCGCAGGCGGUUUUUGUAAGUCUGUCGUGAAAGCCCCCGGGCUCAACCUGGGAAUUGCGAUGGAGACUGCAAGGCUUGAAUCUGGCAGAGGGGGGUAGAAUUCCACGUGUAGCAGUGAAAUGCGUAGAGAUGUGGAGGAACACCGAUGGCGAAGGCAGCCCCCUGGGUCAAGAUUGACGCUCAUGCACGAAAGCGUGGGGAGCAAACAGG
rnacentral:rRNA from 1 species